CCGGCUUUAAGUUGACGAGAGCAGGGUUUAUCGAGACAUCGGCGGGUGCCCUGCGGUCUUCCUGCGACCGUUAGAGGACUGGUAAAACCACAGGCGACUGUGGCAUAGAGCAGUCCGGGCAGGAA
rnacentral:ribozyme from 1 species